rnacentral:rRNA from 1 species
UUAUAACCGGCGAUUUCCGAAUGGGGAAACCCAGUGUGAUUCGUCACACUAUCAUUAACUGAAUCCAUAGGUUAAUGAGGCGAACCGGGGGAACUGAAACAUCUAAGUACCCCGAGGAAAAGAAAUCAACCGAGAUUCCCCCAGUAGCGGCGAGCGAACGGGGAGGAGCCCAGAGCCUGAAUCAGCAUGUGUGUUAGUGGAAGCGUCUGGAAAGGCGCGCGAUACAGGGUGACAGCCCCGUACACAAAAGCGCAUGUGCUGUGAGCUCGAUGAGUAGGGCGGGACACGUGGUAUCCUGUCUGAAUAUGGGGGGACCAUCCUCCAAGGCUAAAUACUCCUGACUGACCGAUAGUGAACCAGUACCGUGAGGGAAAGGCGAAAAGAACCCCGGCGAGGGGAGUGAAAAAGAACCUGAAACCGUGUACGUACAAGCAGUGGGAGCACAGGUUUACCUGUGUGACUGCGUACCUUUUGUAUAAUGGGUCAGCGACUUAUAUUCUGUAGCAAGGUUAACCGAAUAGGGGAGCCGGAGGGAAACCGAGUCUUAAUUGGGCGUUAAGUUGCAGGGUAUAGACCCGAAACCCGGUGAUCUAGCCAUGGGCAGGUUGAAGGUUGGGUAACACUAACUGGAGGACCGAACCGACUAAUGUUGAAAAAUUAGCGGAUGACCUGUGGCUGGGGGUGAAAGGCCAAUCAAACCGGGAGAUAGCUGGUUCUCCCCGAAAGCUAUUUAGGUAGCGCCUCGUGAAUUCAUCUCCGGGGGUAGAGCACUGUUUCGGCUAGGGGGCCAUCCCGGCUUACCAACCCGAUGCAAACUGCGAAUACCGGAGAAUGUUAUCACGGGAGACACACGGCGGGUGCUAACGUCCGUCGUGAAGAGGGAAACAACCCAGACCGCCAGCUAAGGUCCCAAAGUCAUGGUUAAGUGGGAAACGAUGUGGGAAGGCCCAGACAGCCAGGAUGUUGGCUUAGAAGCAGCCAUCAUUUAAAGAAAGCGUAAUAGCUCACUGGUCGAGUCGGCCUGCGCGGAAGAUGUAACGGGGCUAAACCAUGCACCGAAGCUGCGGCAGCGACACUCAGGUGUUGUUGGGUAGGGGAGCGUUCUGUAAGCCUGUGAAGGUGGCCUGUGAGGGUUGCUGGAGGUAUCAGAAGUGCGAAUGCUGACAUAAGUAACGAUAAAGCGGGUGAAAAGCCCGCUCGCCGGAAGACCAAGGGUUCCUGUCCAACGUUAAUCGGGGCAGGGUGAGUCGACCCCUAAGGCGAGGCCGAAAGGCGUAGUCGAUGGGAAACGGGUUAAUAUUCCCGUACUUGGUGUUACUGCGAAGGGGGGACGGAGAAGGCUAUGUUGGCCGGGCGACGGUUGUCCCGGUUUAAGCGUGUAGGUGUGUGUUCCAGGUAAAUCCGGUUCACUUUAACACUGAGGCGUGAUGACGAGGCACUACGGUGCUGAAGCAACAAAUGCCCUGCUUCCAGGAAAAGCCUCUAAGCAUCAGGUAACAUCAAAUCGUACCCCAAACCGACACAGGUGGUCAGGUAGAGAAUACCAAGGCGCUUGAGAGAACUCGGGUGAAGGAACUAGGCAAAAUGGUGCCGUAACUUCGGGAGAAGGCACGCUGACAC